GAGAGAGAGAGAGAGAGAUGCUCCCUGAAACUGUAUUUUCAACAAAUUGUACCAAGCCAUGCGCAAAGGCAUCUUGCAACUAAAAAGUAUUACUCUGUUCAGAUGUUUAAAAAAACUGGCAGUGAGUCGUGCAUAAUGCCAAAACUUCAGUAACAGCCUCAGGGACAAAUCUAAGUAAUGUUUUGCAAUGUUUGGACAGACGCCAUGGUUGGAAAUAUCAAAUAAGGGAAUUGGAUUUCAUUUUUGUGCAUAUUGUUGAAUGAAAGUUGACUUAUUGUUUAAUUGGUUAAAUUUAUGAAAAAAAAUUAUUUAUAAAGAACUUGUUAAAUUUCAAAUUCACACUUAUACAAGGUGUUUUCCAUAUGUAUGAGCCUAACAUAAAUUCAUCACAAAAAAAAAAAAUACAUAUACAUUAUCAAAUUCAAAUCUCAUAGUUCAAAUUUCUCCAUCCAAACACAAGGUUAA
rnacentral:misc_RNA from 1 species